rnacentral:rRNA from 1 species
GUGCCAGCAGCCGCGGUAAUACGUAGGGGGCGAGCGUUGUCCGGAUUUAUUGGGCGUAAAGCGCCCGCAGGCGGCUGCGCAAGCCGUGCGUGAAAUCUCUCGGCUCAACCGGGAGGGGUCGUGCGGGACUGUGCGGCUGGAGGCCGGUAGGGGGGAGUGGAAUUCCCGGUGUAGUGGUGGAAUGCGUAGAGAUCGGGAGGAACACCAGUGGCGAAGGCGGCUCCCUGGACCGGACCUGACGCUCAGGGGCGAAAGCGUGGGGAGCGAUCCGGAUUAGAUACCCUUGUAGUCC